AUGUUCGAGUGAGAAGAUGUUGAAAUGGAGAUGAGGAAGAAGCUGAGCUACGUGGUGAUUGAUUGGAGUCCUGAUGAAGCCUGGGGAGACACAGUUCGUUCGAUUCCCUUCCUUCGCCCAUUCACAUGCAAGGCUUCGGGCUGAUACAUUGCGUAUGCCGACGAUGGCGGCCACGGAGGAGAUGAAGACGAUGCUGCCUCUUCCUGAUGCCUCGAGGAGAGGGUGAGCAAGCUGGCUCAAAUGGAAAGCCGAGUCCAAGUUGGUGCUCAUGACAUGUCGGUAGUCCUCAAGGGUGUGAUCUGUGGCUGCCUUCCAAAUUGCUAUUCCCGCAUUGUUGACCU